UACAGAGGGUGCGAGCGUUAAUCGGAAUUACUGGGCGUAAAGGGUGCGUAGGUGGUUGCAUAAGUUAGGUGUGAAAGUCCUGGCUUAACCUGGGGACUGCGCCUAAGACUGUGUAGCUAGAGUACUGUAGAGGGAGGUGGAAUUUCCAGUGUAGCGGUGAAAUGCGUAGAUAUUGGAAGGAACAUCGGUGGCGAAGGCGACCUCCUGGACAGAUACUGACACUGAGGCACGAGAGCAUGGGGAGCAAACAGG
rnacentral:rRNA from 1 species